AGGACGAACGCUGGCGGCGUGCUUAACACAUGCAAGUCGAGCGGAAAGGCCCUUCGGGGUACUCGAGCGGCGAACGGGUGAGUAACACGUGAGCAAUCUGCCCUUAGCUUCGGGAUAGCUCCGGGAAACCGGAAUUAAUACCGAAUAUGACUUCGGCCGACAUCGGCCUUGGUGGAAAGUUUUUCGGCUAGGGAUGAACUCGCGGCCUAUCAGCUUGUUGGUGGGGUAAUGGCCUACCAAGGCGACGACGGGUAGCCGGCCUGAGAGGGCGACCGGCCACACUGGGACUGAGACACGGCCCAGACUCCUACGGGAGGCAGCAGUGGGGAUAUUGCGCAAUGGGCGAAAGCCUGACGCAGCGACGCCGCGUGGGGGAUGAAGGCCUUCGGGUUGUAAACUGCUUUCUCUGGGACGAGCAAGGACGGUACCAGAGGAAGAAGCCCCGGCUAACUACGCGCCAGCAGCCGC
rnacentral:rRNA from 1 species